rnacentral:tRNA from 2 species
AGGAGAAUAGCUCAAUAGGUUAGAGUUCUGAUUUUCAAAAUCAAAGGUUGAAGGUUCGAUUCCUUCUUCUCCUG